AUUGAACGCUGGCGGCAGGCCUAACACAUGCAAGUCGAGCGGAGCGGCGGACGGGUGAUUAAUGCCUAGGAAUCUGCCUGGUAGUGGGGGAUAACGUCGGGAAACGGGAGCUAAUACCGCAUACUAUCAGGUGGGACUAGGUCGGAUUAGCUAGUUGGUGGGGUAACGGCAUACCAAGGCGAAGAGCCGUAACUGGUCUGAGAGGAUGAUAAGUCACACUGGAACUGAGACACGGUCCAGACUCCUACGGGGGGCAGCAGUGGGGAAUAUUGGGCAAUGGGCGAAAGCCUGAUCCAGCCAUGCCGCGUGUGUGAAGAAGGUCUUCGGAUUGUAAAGCACUUUAAGUUGGGAGGCGUUACCAACAGAAUAAGCACCGGCUAACUUCGUGCCAGCAGCCGCGGUAAUAC
rnacentral:rRNA from 1 species